CAGGAUGAACGCUAGCUACAGGCUUAACACAUGCAAGUCGAGGGGCAGCAUGGAGGUUGCUUGCAACUUCUGAUGGCGACCGGCGCACGGGUGAGUAACGCGUAUCCAACCUUCCCCCUAGUAGGGUCCAGCCCGGCGAAAGUCGAAUUAAUACCCUAUGUUCUUCAAUGAUGACAUCAGGAUUGAAGCAAAGAUUCAUCGCUAGUGGAUGGGGAUGCGUCUGAUUAGCUUGAUGGCGGGGUAACGGCCCACCAUGGCGACGAUCAGUAGGGGUUCUGAGAGGAAGGUCCCCCACAUUGGAACUGAGACACGGUCCAAACUCCUACGGGAGGCAGCAGUGAGGAAUAUUGGUCAAUGGAGGCAACUCUGAACCAGCCAAGUAGCGUGCAGGAAGGACGGCCCUAUGGGUUGUAAACUGCUUUUAUGAGGGGAUAAAUUGCGCCACGCGUGGCGUUUUGCAUGUACCUCAUGAAUAAGGACCGGCUAAUUCCGUGCCAGCAGCCGC
rnacentral:rRNA from 1 species